GGGUGCUGAUGGAGAUCCCCCAUUUGAUAGUCCUUCAAGAAUUGAACCUAAAAGAUCUCAUCAGUGGUUUGUAAAUGCAGCUGAACCUGAGCUGUUCCCAAACAAGAAGCAAGCACGGCAAACACCAAACAGCACAUCAAGUUCGCAAAUUUCCUGUGCAAAUAUUUCUUCUUUGGACAACCCCUCUGGUUUUCAGUCAGUUC
rnacentral:misc_RNA from 1 species